UACGAAGGGGGCUAGCGUUGCUCGGAAUCACUGGGCGUAAAGCGCACGUAGGCGGCUUUUUAAGUCAGGGGUGAAAUCCUGGAGCUCAACUCCAGAACUGCCUUUGAUACUGGCGAUCUCGAGUCCGGGAGAGGUGAGUGGAACUGCGAGUGUAGAGGUGAAAUUCGUAGAUAUUCGCAAGAACACCAGUGGCGAAGGCGGCUCACUGGCCCGGUACUGACGCUGAGGUGCGAAAGCG
rnacentral:rRNA from 1 species